rnacentral:rRNA from 1 species
GAUCAUGGCUCAGGAUGAACGCUAGCGGCAGGCUUAACACAUGCAAGUCGAGGGGCAGCAUGAGGAGUCAGCAAUGGCACCUUGAUGGCGACCGGCGCGAAGGGUGCGUAACGCGUGAGCAACCUGCCCGUCACGGGGGGAUAACCGGUGGAAACGCCGACUAAUAUCCCAUGGUUUCCGUUGGGGCAUCCCCGGCGGAAUAAAGGCUUCGGCCGGUGACGGAUGGGCUCGCGUGACAUUAGG